rnacentral:rRNA from 1 species
AUUGAACGCUGGCGGCAGGCCUAACACAUGCAAGUCGAACGGUAACAGGAAACAGCUUGCUGUUUCGCUGACGAGUGGCGGACGGGUGAGUAAUGUCUGGGAAACUGCCUGAUGGAGGGGGAUAACUACUGGAAACGGUAGCUAAUACCGCAUAACGUCGCAAGACCAAAGAGGGGGGACCCUCGGGCCUCUUGCCAUCGGAUGUGCCCAGAUGGGAUUAGCUUGUUGGUGGGGUAACGGCUCACCAAGGCGACGAUCCCUAGCUGGUCUGAGAGGAUGACCAGCCACACUGGAACUGAGACACGGUCCAGACUCCUACGGAGGCAGCAGUGGGGAAUAUUGCACAAUGGGCGCAAGCCUGAUGCAGCCAUGCCGCGUGUAUGAAGAAGGCCUCGGUUGUAAGUA